rnacentral:rRNA from 1 species
AACGAACGCUGGCGGCAGGCCUAACACAUGCAAGUCGAGCGAGCAUUUCGGUGCUAGCGGCGGACGGGUGAGUAACGCGUGGGAACGUGCCCUUUUCUGCGGAAUAGUCCUGGGAAACUGGGGGUAAUACCGCAUACGCCCUUUUGGGGAAAGAUUUAUCGGAGAAGGAUCGGCCCGCGUUGGAUUAGGUAGUUGGUGGGGUAAUGGCCCACCAAGCCGACGAUCCAUAGCUGGUUUGAGAGGAUGAUCAGCCACGCUGGGACUGAGACACGGCCCAGACUCCUACGGGAGGCAGCAGUGGGGAAUCUUAGACAAUGGGGGCAACCCUGAUCUAGCCAUGCCGCGUGAGUGAUGAAGGCCUUAGGGUUGUAAAGCUCUUUCAGCUGGGAAGAUAAUGACGGUACCAGCAGAAGAAGCCCCGGCUAACUCCGUG